rnacentral:rRNA from 1 species
AUGGUUCUGAUUGACGCAUCUACACGAUGGUCACAUGUGUGUCUUCUAUCCACACGAAACCAUGCAUUUGCCAAGAUAAUGAGGCAAGUCAUUAAGUUGCAAGCCCAUUAUCCUGAAAGUCGAAUUAAAUCAAUUCGAAUGGACAAUGCUGCAGAAUUCUCCUCACGUGCUUUCAAUGAUUAUUGCAUGGCUUUGGGGAUUGAAGUUCAGCACUCUGUUCCAUAUGUCCAUACACAAAAUGGUUUGGCUGAAGCGUUGAUUAAGAGGAUCAAACUCAUUGCAAGACCUUUGUUGACGAAUUGCAACUUGCCAACCUCUUGUUGGGGUCACGCUGUUUUACACGCUGCUGACUUGAUACAAUUGAGACCAACUGCAUAUCACAGUUCUUCCCCUCUGGAAUUGGUACGUGGAAAUCCUCCAAGCAUUUUCCAUCUGCGUAAGUUCGGAUGUGCUGCAUACAUCCCGAUCUCACCACCACAGCGGACAUCUAUGGGCCCACACAGGAAGUUGGGGAUCUAUGUGGGGUACAAAUCGCCGUCGAUUAUCAAGUACCUGGAACCCCUGACUGGGGAUCUGUUCACAGCCCGUCACGCUGAUUGCAUAUUUAAUGAGGAACAUUUUCCGGCAUUAGGGGGAGAUUUCAAGUACCAGAAAGAAUGCCCGGAAAUUGAUUGGAAUGCUCAUGCCAUUUCAUCCUCUGAUCCACGUACCCAAGAGACCGAACUUCAAGUUCAGAAGAUCAUUAAUUUGCAACAUCUUGCAAAUAAUCUGCCAGAUUCAUUUACUGAUUUGAAAGGUGUUACAAAAUCCUUAAACCCGGCCAGAAACGCGCCAGAAAGAGUGGAGGUACCAAUAAAAACCACUCAACUCCCUAUUCCUAAAAAGAGGGGGAGUAGUACGGCCUCUGACCCGGAGCAUGCUUCUAGCAAGCAGCAAAGGAAAUCGAGGAAAAAAACCUCGGAGUCAGUAAAUGCAGGUCAACUCAACGUUGACAAACACCUGAUGGGUAGUAUACACCCAGUGGAAGGGCAACCUCCACAACCCUGUUCCAGUAUGCACAAACUAACUGGGACAUCGGAACACCCAGACUCGAUCGUAUUGGGAAAUCACGAAGAGUCUCUAGGGGUGCAGGAAAUUUCCAUCAACUAUGUUGAUUCUGGAGAAUCAUUUGACCGUAAGACUACGACUGUCGACAUAUUUUUUGCUGAAAAGAUUGCAGAUACCCUUCUCACUGAUCAUGAUCCAAGGUCUAUCGUUGAGUGCCAAAAGCGCUCCGAUUGGCCUAAAUGGAAGGAUGCAAUCCAAGCAGAAAUUGCCUCGCUUAACAAAAGAAAGGUAUUCACUGAAGCAAUACCUACACCUCCCAGUGUUUUCCCUGUGGGAUUCAAAUGGGUUUUUCCUCCGGAAAUAGAAUGA